ensembl:lncRNA
CCCAUUUUCUCUUGUGGGCAUGUGCCGAGACUAGCAGCAUCUGGAGUACGAUGUGGAUGUCAAACCUUUUUUUGAUGGCGCCCUUACUCUGUCAUAGAGCUAACGACUAGACAACUUGACCCCUGUAGUGAAGAUGGCGGUCUGGUGCAUCAAGGCCAUUUUCAAACUCCUAUUGGUCUGAAAGUCACGUGGCAAGCCUCAUUCAACCAUAUUUUUGCUCCACCCACCACAACUUGAAAGCUAGCGUUCUGCCAGACUAUAGGCCUAGUCCUUUAGGAGCGCUCUGAUGUGGUCCAUACAAAUAAGAAACAACAAUAAAAUAGAAUUACACGCAGAAUUUCAUGUGGAACAUUUAGUGAGUAGGAGGAUCCUCAUUGUGCUGAGAUCACCAAGUGGUCCUACCCAGAGUUCUGCCACUGUACGACGUUGAGAAAGUAAGGAAUCUUCUCAUAGACUCUCCUAAGUGGAAACAUCAUCUACUACAAAAGCAGCUCUCAGCAUUCAUUAAAUCAACAUGCUUUUUGGGCUCAAAAUUACGGACAGUCAAAGAGGACUCAGUGUGCAUCUUAUAUUGAUGGAAUUUAAAUGGACGCUUGGAAACUUGUUACUCCUACACUCGCAAAGAGCCCCAAGUCAAACACACCGACGUUCUCGUCCGGAGUUCUCUAGAGCCUGUCAGCGGUAGCCUACAGUAGGAAAAGAAGGUGCUUGGUUUUGGAUCAGAUUGUGAAUUAUUUGUGAUCGAAACGUCGACAGAGAACCCAGAACCAUUUAACGUGAGCCAUUAAUGACUGGCAUAGAAUACAGUUAAUUUGAGAAGAGCCACCCUGAUCAGAGAAAGUGUCCUUAAAAUGGAAGGUAGCCCAACUAACUCAAACAGUGAGGUUAAAGGUAACACACACAAACACAAAUACUAACACAUCACGGUAACCGGCAUAGAGAGCGCGCGCGCAGAGACACAGACACAGCACACAACUACUUUUUUUCCUGAAACACACAAACUUAACAUGAAAUUACAGAUAGCUUAGCUACUAUGCGUUAUGCCACUACUAAAAGUGUAACGCCAAUCUCAAAGAUACACCUGCAGUACUUAAAAAAGGAAACGUUAUUUAAGUUCUUAUGUGCUUUUAAUUUUUGAUUGUUUUAUGUAAUUCAUUUUUAACACGAGAGGCCGGUUUUAUAUGCAGACACAGAAGAUAAAAUCAUGUUGAAUGUAGGCUGUUUAUCUCUUUCAGGGAAACCAUCACAAGAAAACGUUGUCUAUAAACCUAAAAACAAUGUAGACAACCAUGGGCCUUAACGAUUCUUGGCAGGUCAAAGGAAAGCGUGUUUGUAUUUUGCAGCUUUUCCGCUUCUGUAACCACAAUUGUAAAUAUUGUCCAUAAAUAUGUUUUAAAUGUAUUAAACAAAAUAUAUAUAAAGCAUAUCCAGCCUAACUUCAAGUUAUUGAAGGCCUACGUUCAGAAGAAAAAUCAUGAUAUAUGAUAAUCAUGAUAUGCACUUUUGUUCAUUUAAAAAAAUAAAAUCGAAGGCGUGUUAUUGAGCAUAACCAGGCCAUGUCGCUGGCAUUAGAUAUUCGCACUAACGUAACUACAUUUUCUGUAGCCUAAUAUCUUCUCAUAUUUAAAUCAGACAGAUACGACAUUUCUAUGCCUCUGCUGUUAAAAACAACAUAUAAGGUUACAAAACCAUUCAAGUUAGGUUUCUUUAACUGAGUCCAUUAAGUCCUUUCUCUCCUUAAAUCUAACUGAUUCGUUACAAUAGACCCUAAUAAUACAUUGAUGUUACAACAUGACUCUCAAAAAGUUUCAAAAAUGUAUAACGUAUUCAUUUAAAAAUAAUUGGAAUAGUCUGGCCUGGUACGUGUAUAGCUUUGCACCGUCCAAUUCCUAGUGUAUAUUUUGCAUGUACUUCCCUAUAUGAACGUUGGUAUUAUUUAUUUUAUUAUUUGCGCCAGCUGUUCCGUAAUCCAAGGCAAAUUACACUAUAC